GAAAAUCCGUCGAAUGAAAAAUCGUGAGGGUUCAAGUCCCUCUAUCCCCA
rnacentral:tRNA from 1 species